GACGAACGCUGGCGGCGUGCUUAACACAUGCAAGUCGAACGGAAAGGCCCUGCUUUUGUGGGGUGCUCGAGUGGCGAACGGGUGAGUAACACGUGAGUAACCUGCCCUUGACUUUGGGAUAACUUCAGGAAACUGGAGCUAAUACCGGAUAGGAGCUCCUGCUGCAUGGUGGGGGUUGGAAAGUUUCGGCGGUUGGGGAUGGACUCGCGGCUUAUCAGCUUGUUGGUGGGGUAGUGGCUUACCAAGGCUUUGACGGGUCGCCGGCCUGAGAGGGUGACCGGCCACAUUGGGACUGAGAUACGGCCCAGACUCCUACGGGAGGCAGCAGUGGGGAAUAUUGUACAAUGGGCGGAAGCCUGAUGCAGCAACGCCGCGUGCGGGAUGACGGCCUUCGGGUUGUAAACCGCUUUCGCCUGUGACGAAGCGUGAGUGACGGUAAUGGGUAAAGAAGCACCGGCUAACUACGUG
rnacentral:rRNA from 1 species